CUACGGCAUUUUGGCAUUUAUCGAAUGAUGCCAGAAACCGAGAACGGAUUGCGUUACAUGGCGGUGUUGAAGCCUUGAAGAGAGCAGCUGGUGCUCUAUGGGGACUUUCGGUUUCAGAAGCCAAUAGAUGCAUAUAGAGGAUCUCAAAGUCAGUUUUGCACUUUUGCUAUUUUCUUAGAGCGAUAA